GAGUUUGAUCAUGGCUCAGGAUGAACGCUAGCGGCAGGCUUAACACAUGCAAGUCGAGGGGUAUAGUUCUUCGGAAUUAGAGACCGGCGCACGGGUGCGUAACGCGUAUGCAAUCUACCUUUCACAGAGGGAUAGCCCAGGGAAAUUUGGAUUAAUACCUCAUAGUAUUACGGAAUGGCAUCAUUUUAUAAUUAAAGUCACAACGGUGAAAGAUGAGCAUGCGUCCCAUUAGCUAGUUGGUAAGGUAACGGCUUACCAAGGCUACGAUGGGUAGGGGUCCUGAGAGGGAGAUCCCCCACACUGGUACUGAGACACGGACCAGACUCCUACGGGAGGCAGCAGUGAGGAAUAUUGGACAAUGGGCGCAAGCCUGAUCCAGCCAUGCCGCGUGCAGGAUGACGGUCCUAUGGAUUGUAAACUGCUUUUGCACAGGAAGAAACAACGCUACGUGUAGCGUCUUGACGGUACUGUGAGAAUAAGGAUCGGCUAACUCCGUGCCAGCAGCCGCGGUAAUACGGAGGAUCCAAGCGUUAUCCGGAAUCAUUGGGUUUAAAGGGUCCGUAGGCGGUUUAGUAAGUCAGUGGUGAAAGCCCAUCGCUCAACGGUGGAACGGCCAUUGAUACUGCUAGACUUGAAUUAUUAGGAAAGUACUAGAAUAUGUAGUGUAGCGGUGAAAUGCUUAGAGAUACAUGGAAUACCAUUUGCGAGGCAGGUACUACUAAUGG
rnacentral:rRNA from 1 species